UUUGCUGGUCAUUAUGUUUCCUGGUCCGAUGUGAGGAGGUUGCUGAUUUUGGAGCUGUUCUUGUUAUACCUGUGUGCCUGUCUGCCAAACAACCUACAAAGUCCAAGCUGCACUUUUUCUUACAUUCCUGGCCUAUCUACAUCCUGCAAGGCAUCAGUGAAGCAGGUGUUGGGGCACCUAACAAUUUCAUUGCCAUCAGAAUUAAUUGACACGUGCUUUGUGAAUAUUGAUUACAGAAUACCAAUGUAUCUGCUCAGGAACUGCACCGACUAUGAAAAUGACCAUUUACAUGUGAUGCUUAGAAAAAGCUAUAACAUACACCAGUAUUUUGAACUUGCAAUACAGGGAAUAUUCUGUAUGUUUACUUUACUAUGUUAACUCCCCCAUAUUAUGGUUUGUGCAAAGGAGAACUUAAAAAAAAAUUGUCAUAUUUCUGUCACACACAUUUACAUAUUAUAUCUGAAUAUUUGGUACUAGGCCCAAGGCCGUAGAAAAGAUUCCUGGGCCCCAGCAAUGAAAGGAGGCGUGGCCUGGCCAUGGAAACAAUGUACUUUUUAUGCACCACUAAGCGGUGCCAACCUGUGGUAGGGGGAGCUGGGGAGGGGUGCUUUCAGCCAGGAUCAGCUCCAGGGAGGGGGCACAGUCAGUGCAAUUGCCUACUCCCUCUUCCAGACAGAGGAUACUGCUGCUCCCAGGACCUACUAGGCUGAAGAGCAGGCUGUGGCUGCUAACUGACAUGUAAGGGAGGGGGGGGGGGGGGUGCACUUAUCAGGGCACCCACCUGGCCUCUCAAAGAAGCCUGGGUAAUUAGAACCCACCCUCCCCCUCUCUGUGCCACUGUCUAGGCCUUCUGCAUGAUUUUAGUAAAACCAAAAGGGCUUUGCAACACUCAGUUUUCUCUUGCAAGUACAAUAUAGUAUCUUAUACAACCUUUGACAUCUAUUAAUUUCGUAUUUUAUGUUAGAUGAUUUUAAAAGUAAUUUCUAAAGUGCUCCACUGCUUGUACACUUAUAAACACAUAAUGUAUGCACUAAAAGGUCGCUCUCUUAGUACCAAGUUCCAAAAGAGUGUGAAAAAAGCAGGAUCCAGGAUUCCAAGGGUUCCUAUCCACUCAGGCUGCAGUGUGAUGCUGUUUGCCAUUGUGGGGUUCAUUGUUAUGCUUUUAAUCUGCAACCUUUUGUAAGUGCAGUCUGUGAAUUAAAUUUCCUUGUAUAUAAGGAUAA